AUGGCAUUUGGAGAGGGUUGGCAUAGGGCCCUACGGGAGCUGUGUGCUGGCGACGCCAAGAAGCUGGAGUAUGCGCGUGAGCACAAGUUUCACCACGCAAUAACUACAGCACAACUACCACCAAGUCUCACUGAAUUCAACUUCUUUACUGCAUCACUCCACCUCUCUUUACUACGUCUCCUCUUUCUUCAACUACUUAACAUCAACCUCACUGGAUCUCCGCAACUUCACCUCACUCGCUACUUCUCUCACAACCACAUCCUCUCUGCACCCAUGGCUGGUUCCUCCUCCACACCAGACCCAUGGCUCAACCCAUUCCCCACUGGCAAGGGCUGGGUUGCCAUGCUAUUUGGUUCGGCGCGCGGUGACCAGGAUCUAUUCCUGGACUACAUGAAGAUAGCUACGAGAUACAACAGCGCGGAUGGACUAGUAGAUGUUGCUGACCUAGUCCAGAAGAAGGCGACGCCUCAAGAGAAGAAGUGCAUGCAACAGAGCUAUGGAACUAAAGGUAAGGGUAUCCUACCCAUCGACACUCUACUAUGGGCAAUGAGAGAGGCAGAGUCCUCCGAUGAUGGCCAGCGUAAGCGAUGGGAAGCCCACCGCUAUGUUGCUCCGACACAAGCUGCAACUGAUGUAGCAGUGCAGGAAGAGGACGAUGACGACUUGCAGAUAGUUGCGCCACCUGCAGAGCAGGCUCGCCGCCGUCCCCCUCCCAUCAUCGUCAUCGACGAAGACGAUGAAGAGGAGGAAGUGCAGAAGCAGACAGAUCCAAGGAAGAUCAAGCAAAUCAUGCGUCGCUCUGCACGCUUAGCAAAUCCUAAAGAUGAGCAGUAG
rnacentral:rRNA from 1 species